GGUCAACCACAAACACAUUCUCAAAUCUCAAUUCAUCUCCUAUCCUUGGUUCGAUAUAAUCGAAGCUCUCUACUGAAAUUUGAUUGUUGUCAAGCAACUUCUUUCACCAUUACCAAUUUUAUUCCUUCCGUCACCACCAACUUUGAUUGCAGCAAAAUGACUGCUUAUGGUGCUGUGCUUUCUCUUAGGAAUACAAUUAACAAUAUUCUCCAUUGUUCUCGUUUAAGCCUUGUUGGUCGCUCUCAACAAAGCUUAGAAGUCGUGUACGACGAGUUGGAGCCAUUGAGAGGAAUUCUGGAAAAAUAGGACUACACUAGUCCAAGCAGAAGCAGGAAGAAGGUGAAUGCUUUGGAUGGAAGAAUCAAACAGGCAUUAUGGAAAUUUGAAGACUCAUUGGAAUCCCUUCUCAUGGAACAUAUUCCUUCACAAUUUGAAAGUAUUCCGGAAAUAGUCUUCAUUGAUCUGCAGAAUCUGCAAAAUGAUGUUAAUACCUUGAUCCGCUCAAUGAUAUGGUGGAGAAGGACUACAUUUAUGAAGUUGAGAAUAUGCCUCAAGAUGAACCCAUUUCCUCAUUAAUUGGUUUUUAUGGAACCAACUCAAAGAUGGUUGGAUUAUCAGACCAAUUCCAACAUGUCAAAACCCAUCUUCUAAGAGGAUGUAGCGGCUGGAUUAAUUUCUACGCACUUUAUGGAACUGCGGGAGUUGGGAAGACCACUCUUGCUAUGCAAAUUUAUCAAGACCCACCAAUUCAGAGCAAAUACGAAUGUCGGGUGUGGGUCACCGUAGGCAGAGUACCUCAACCGACUAAUCAAAUUUCAAGAGGCAUUCUAGCUCAACUGUCUGGGAUUAAUCAAGGAGAUGAAGAAAUAAGUGACUGCUUGAAAGAAAGAUUCCAUGACAAGAACUGUCUCAUUGUGUUGGAUGAUGUUUGGGAGACAGAUGUAUGGAAAUUCUGGUGCAGAAUUGGGGCUGCCGGAGCUGAGAACGGCUACCGGAAUCGCACCUAUACAAAUAGAACUCGGCGAGAGGGAAGAUAGAUUGAGAGGAGAAGAGUUUUGCAUUAAUAUUUGAAUUGAAUGAAUACAAAUGAGGAAGAGAUCAGCUUAUAUAGCUGAAUGUGUAACUAAUCGACAGUUAACAGCUCUAACCGCCUCUAACUAACUUGAUUUCAGCUCAACUAACUCUCAACUACACAGCUAAACAUCAUUCCUCCCCGCUAUAAGUAUCAUUCCUCCCAACUACAAGUAUCAUUCUUCCCAGUUACAAGUAUCAUUCUUCCCAGCUACAAGUAUCAUAUAUCAAAUUCAUGGAAGAUUCAUCACCAUUCUUCCCAGCUACAAGUAUCAUAUAUCAAAUUCAUGGAAGAUUCAUCACCAUACAUAAAAAGUGGAUGUAAUCUGGUAUUGCUUACUGGUCGACAUCGAAAAUUGAUGAAUGAUGGUGUGCGUAACGAAUCUUGGUGUGAGGUGCGGUUUGGUUUUUGAACGAAGAAGAAAGUAUGGAUCUACUAUGUGACAAGGUGUUUGGGGAUUAGGGUUGCCCUCCUCAACUUCACAAAGCUGCCACCAAAAUUGCCAAGUUUUGUGAAGGUCUCCCUCUCAUGAUACUCGCAGUUGCUGAGUCUUUAUCAAGAUCAAAAAAUAGAGAUCCAAUCUACUGGAAUGAAGUAGCACAAAAGAGAAAUUCACUCUUUACGGAUGCAUAUAAUGAAAUAUCAAAGGUACUUUUCUCAAGUUACGACUACUUACGUCAACAUCUUAAAAUGCCUUUUCUAUUUCUCGGAGUUUUCCCUCAAGAUUAUGACACUCCACCUUCCAAGAUCAUCUUUAUGCUCGCCGCUAAGGGGUUGUGGGAUGAUUGGGAAUGUUUGAUGGAGCUAGCUAUCGACUACAGUCUUGUUUUACGCAGCUUGAAGAGCGUGAAUAAAACUUAUAGUGAAUUUUCUGUUAGCGAAUACAAAACUUGUCGGCUUCAUUCUUCGUGGUGGCACGUGUGUAGAGGAGAAGCUAGUAAGAACAAGUUUUAUCAUGUCCUAAAUAAGUUAAUUGAUGCCAAAGAAAAAAGUCUUAAAGGUCAAUGCGGCUUGUGUCUCGAAAAUAAUAUUUUGUUUGGCAUCAAAGAGUUUCGCGAGUCAGUAAGACUAAAUUGUGCUUUCUCUACACGUUCUCUCCUUUUGUACGGUCCUUACCACCAAUAUCCGAUCCCUAUAGAUGUUGGUUUCAUGUUAUUAAGGGAAAUUGAUAUUCUUACACAACGCGUAUAUACUUUUCCAAUAGAAAUUCUUUCACUAGUCCAACUGAAGUACCUUGCUCUAACUUGCAACGGAGAAGUUCCUGCAACUAUAUCCAAAGUUUUCAACCUUGGAGUCUUGAUUAUCCAUCCACAUCUGAUUAUUAGACAUUGUAGAGCUCCAUCAUAUGUACCAAUACAAAUAUGGGAUAUGCUUAAGUUAGAGCAUAUUUAGAUACUGGGAAAGAGUUUUAUUGCUCCAUCUUAUGUAGCUUCUUUGAAAAAGCUCUCAACACUUUUAGGAGUGAAUGCUAGUAUUUGUACAAUCUUAGAACUCUCCAGAAAAAUUUCAAACAUAAAGAAAUUAGGAAUACAGAUUGAGCUAACGCCUUAUGACGACCAUAAUGAUAUUUUGAAUUGUUUUGGUUGUAUUUCAACACUUGGAAGUUUGGAUACACUCAAAUUGAGUAUCACAAAUCUCGUGGUCAAACAUGAUCAUGUUUUCCCAGUGAAUCUUGGGUUAAUGAAGUUGCCACAUUAUUUGAAAAAGUUACAUUUGAGUGGUAUGGGUUUUGCUUGGAAAUACAUGGAUGUCAUUGGCUCUUUGCCGUACCUUCAAGUGCUCAAAUUGCGAUCUUACGCCAUUCAAGGGUCAUAUUGGGAAACACAAAGGCGAAGUUUUAGGAGCCUUGAGUUUCUUCUAAUUGAAGAAAGUGAUUUGGUGCAAUGGAAAGCGGUAUACGAAAGCUUGGCCAAAUUCCACAAAACUACCUUAUGGGAGCUUUAAUCCGCCGUUUGUACGCUGAAAAUAAAAAUUUCCAAGGAGGGGAAAGACGCGAGAGAAAUUCGCGUGUUUAUUUAAAACACGCAUCAAGCUCUCGCGUGUUGACUUAAAACACGCAUUCUUCUCUCGCGUGUUUUACUCAUACACGCGUUAGGCAAACGCGUGUUUGCCUUGGUUCCAUCGCUGCUUCUGCCUCUCAUUCACAGAGCACCCAAACCAGACCGGGCGCGACUCCACUUAAAAUAUGAAUUGGAGCAGCUAGAUGUCGGAUUAACUUCGAUUUCCGCCGGCUGGAGACGUUGGGAGCAGAAGGUGUCGCGCUGAGAGGUGUCGCGGUGUGAAUGAGGAGCGAGUUCCGUAAGGAUCUGCCUUCUGGUGUGGAGAUCUAACCAAGGCAAACACGUACUACCGUCUCGCGUCUUUAUCAAUAUACAUGCAUGAGCUUCUCGCGUGUAUAAGGAAGAGACGCAUCAGCUUGAUGCGUGUUUUAAAUAAACACGCGAAUUUCUCUCGCGUCUUUCCCCUCCUUGGAAAUUUUUAUUUUCAGCGUACAAACAGCGGAUUAAAGCUCCCAUAAGGUAGUUUUGUGGAAUUUGGCCACGAAAGCUUCCCUGUGCUUAAAUACCUAAGCAUGAAACAUUGUCACAAACUAGAGGAUUUUAGCUGCAGGCCUUCUUUUCUGCACCAGUAUGAUUGUACCAUAGAGAUUGAAUUAGAAAACUGCAAUCCUUUAGCCUUGGCUUGGGCCAGCCAAUUACAGCCAAGUCUUGGUGUUACACUUCGUGUUAUUGCCUCCACUUCGUUUGACGAGAAACCAACAACUUUCAAACCUGAAAGACCGAACAUUUGAAGAUGAGGAAGAGAAUGAUGAUAAUAAAGAAAUUGCCAUUCGGAUGAAGAGGAGUGUUGGAGAAGAUGGUAGGAUUAUGCUGGAGUGCCAAUGUCAAAGAGCAUGUGGGUUAAUAGGGCCAUUAUUUGAUAUUCUGUUUGGUUGUUUGGGCUUCAAGGAUAGGAGGGCUCUUUGAGCCCUUAAAUCUGCUGCUACAGAAUGAUACACACAUGAAUCAAGUUAUGAAUUUUACUCAUUCAAUUCAAUAACUUCUGCAAUGAUGUCUUGGUAUUUUGGUUUGAUUUUCAAUAAAUAAAUCAUUUGCAUUAUUGGGUUGUCAUCUGAUUUCUGCCAAGGAUUUGAACCUUGUGAUUGCUGAGGCCUCUAAUGUGGAGGGUUCCUGCAAUGCUGAGGGGAUCUGGCUUGGUUUGCAGAAUGUUGUGAGAGUCACGCGCAACACCAAUGCCACAGCUCCUUUUUUGGUCUGUGGUGCUGGGAGUUCAGA